GGGUUCCUUUCCAAGUUUUAAAAUGCAGUAUAGAUCUUACAUUUAAAAAUCUAACGUAUCUUUUCUUCUACUUCUGUCAAGUGUUUUUGUUGUUGAAUAUUUGCAUUUAAGCCUGAUUUGAGUGAAUUUACAGAAUUAUUAACUUCCCUGAAAAUGUUUUAAAAAAUAACAUUUUUACCUGAAAGUAAACUUUAAAUACAUUUAUACUUGCUAAAAAAAGAAAAAAAAAAAAGAAAAUACAGAUAACAUAAGAUGAAUAUGCUGUCGCUCAUAGGAACUAACAACUCAUGGCCACUCACUGACUCACUGCUGUACAUCACACAUUAAACGCCACAUUAAAGUAACAAUUAUGGAUUCAUUCUUACUUUGAUCCAAAAAGCCUGUGGUCAAAUAUAUAUAUAUAUAUAUAUAUAUAUAUAUAUAUAUAUAUAUAUAUAUAUAUAUAUUACAGAGCCUCAAUUUUCUACAGGAACUUUUUGAAACGUGUUGAAAAGAUGAAAACACUUUUAUUUCCUCAACAGUGAAUCUUGUUUUUUCGUCUGGGCGUUGAUGAACAACUUGUCAGCAGUGUAAAAAGUUUCAUCAGUCCUGCCUACAUAUGUUUUUUUUUUCUUUCCUCUUCCCUUCACACAGACGUUUAACAACUGAGACUGUGGUUCGAACAGGUGAACACAAAGCUUAACGUAUCCCGCUGUCCUCAGGCCCCACAGAGCACUCUUAUCUCAGGAGAGGCUGUGGGUGCUGGAUUGCUGAGUCACCUUUCGUGGGAGGCUGCCCUUAUCUCCUAAGAAGCACAACAUUCAGGCAGUUGGUUGCAAAAGGAGGAACUUUGAGCAGGAGCACUGUGGCCUGCUGUGUCUUCACGGCCAUACUACGGAUUGCAGCAACGCUUUGCGACUUCCUCAAAGCCACAAGGGCCAGCUCUGCUUUGUCUGCGAGGUAAGAAGAGGCUGCAGCUUUUGGACGCAUCAAGGUAUGAGAAGGCUGCAGGAUGACCAACUCCAGAGGCCACGCAGAGGGAAUGCUGGGACUGAAAUGUGACUCAGUGCUAUCAGCGAGCGCAGAGGGGUCAGAACGUGACUGUGGCCUUCCAUGAACGACAGAUACUGUCCCGUCCCAGUGACACAGCAGCUUUGCUCUGUGUGGCUGUGGCUGAAAGGCAAAAUACUGUUAGGACAAUGAUUCAGCCAAGGUUUUAGAGAAGUUACUGCAGAGGUGGGAUCAAUACUCACCGCUGGCUGAGUUGCUGAUCAUCAUCCUGACGUUUGACUUAUACAAAAAACCUACAAACUGAAGCAUGUUUCGGCAGAGGGCUUCAAGGUUUUAUAAGAUUAUUUAAUUUUGCAGCAUUUUGAGAUUAUACUACACGUACGGGGCUGUAAUCCACGGCUGCAAAUCAAUCUAAACAUAACCCUCUGCUCCUUCGGGUUAAUCCACAACCUGAAGCAAGCCAUGUUGCUGUAAUUAAUAUCAUUACCUGGCAAGUCUCAAAACAUCAUCAGGCAAUGUAGCCGGUCGACUACCGAACAAAAGGCUCCGGCUGGUUCUUAUUUCAUGGAUCUUUAAGCAGUAUUCACUGUUUCACAUUUGGAAGCAUGAGCAGCAUGUAACCCUUAAUUGGUUUCAACACCUUAAUAAGUCAAAGACGUUCAAGGCUGAUAAUCACAUUAAAUAGUCCAAUUUAUCUAAAAAGUCAAUUGCAAACUGAAAAACUCUCUUUCUUUAGGAAUGCAUUAUGCUGUGAGGAUGUCAGAGUAAAUUAAAUUCCCCUCUGCACACUAAAGCAUCUAUUUCCUUAUGGUAAUUAUCUGCUGGAAUAGACGUGUCACUAGAAGGAGUCAGGCAUGCUUGACAUUUAGCCUUUUUAUGGAGAGGCGAUGAGUAAAAAUUAAGAUGAGGAAAAGGAAAUUAAUCUCCAGCCCAGGCAGGCAUUGAGAGAUCCUGGAGGAUAGUGGCUGAAUCAAUCACGAUGUUUGUGAGCCUGUUUUGAAAAGGAGCUAGUGAUGAGAUUCAGACCACAGGCUGGAAAAUCUGAGAAGGGAGGGAGGGAGGUUUUUUUUUUUUUGAAAAUAGAGUUAUGAUUGCUUUGAGAAGGUUUUCACGCAGUUUUAUUGGUUUUAAACACAACAGCAAACAUACAAACUGGGGCUGCGUGAUACGGUAAAAAAGAAAAAAGAAUCACAUUGUGAUAAUUUUGACUGAUAUGAUUCACGAUUAGUGGAAAUUUUUGCAUCACAAUUUCACAGAAAAACAAGAAACGAGAACGUGACAUUUGUGAUGAUCUCUGCCAGACAAACAUGUUUUCUUACAUGUGGAGAACUCUACAGUACUUCAUUAUAAUGCUGUAAUGUCACACAUUUUACCUUCAUUUAAAAACUGCAGCUUCAACGAUUUGGAUAUUGGUCUUCUCGCAAGUUCAAUAAUAUUUUGAUUAACUGUACAGCCCUAAUGCAAAAUUUGGUACAUUUCCAAUUAAUUGUUUUGUUGUUCCAUACAGUAUAUGUGGAAACAGCUAGCACAGGAAGUUAAAAAAAGCUAAUAUUUUAGCUUAAGAGGAGCUGCUAGGAUAGAUUUUACUAACCAUUUUCUGGCUGUAGCUUUAUAUUUAGUGAUAUCAAUCUUCUCAUGCAACUCUCAGCAACAAAGCAAAUGUCAAACUACACCUUUAAGUGUAUAUUUAAGGGCCUCUAAACAUCCUAAAUAGGUGAAAUAAUGAUCACUAAAUCGCCCGAGCCCUCCAUCAUUUAUUAAUGUGGUUAAAACGAGAUGCUGGCUCUCUUAAUCUUAAACUUAAAGUCAAGACUGUCCAGUGCAUUAAUUGGUGGUUUCUAGACGUCAAUCACCAACAGAGCUGUUAGCUGAUAUCAAGCCAGAAGGAAGAGUGCACGCUGUAGAUUCACUACAAUGCAGAGGAAAGGCUAAAUCUUAACAAUAGGACAGUGUAUGUUGGUAUGUUUAAUAGCUUUAAAUUUAACUUAAAUUGAAUUGUCACCAGUGUUUAACAGUAAUGCAUUACUUAGUUACAUGUUACAUUAAUGUGGCAGUACAGUUUAGUAAAAGGGUUUGCAAGUUGAAAUUCAGUUAUUUCAAUAAAUCCAGUAAAGAUUUUGAUGAGGGAUUUAUAUCAGUUUUCUCUCUGAAUUCAGACGGACUUUCCUGGUCUGAGACAUGUUAGCUUGGCGCUGGAGUUGGAGGUGUAGGGAGGCAGGACUCCCGGUUAUCCCAAAGUAUUUAAAUGUGUGGGCCUACAUUUCAGAGUCACCUGUGUUUGCUCAUAGGAGGAUGUGUGAACCCUUGUGCAGUCACUGGGGCUAAUCAAGCUGUUGGUCAGUUAAUACCUCUAAAACGUAGACAGGCUGCUUGUUAAAGGUCCAGUGAGGAACAUUUCGGUGGAUCAAUUGGCAGAAAUGGAAUAUAAUAUCCAUAGGUAUGUUUUCAUUAGUGUAUAAUCACCUGAAUAUAGGAAAUGGUUGUGUUUUUGUUACCUUAGAAUGAGAUGUUUUUAUCUACAGACGCUGCAGGUCCACCAUGUUUCUACUGUAUUUUGUUUUUUGUGAGUUUUGUGACGACUUUAGUUUCUCCUACACACAUCACAGCCCGUUCUCAAUCUCAAGGUCAUCAAAUACAGACGCGAGCGGUGUUCAGUUAGCUGCAAUCUACAACUUCAUCCCUAGAUUUCACUAAAUCCUACACACUGGUCCUUUAAAAUCAUGUUUUGUUUUCUAUUUCUACACUACAGAAUAUGUGAAGUGAAGGUGGAGAGGAUUUUGAGUUAAUUCUUCUACCUACCAUAGUAACUACCAACGUAAUGUUUUCAAUGUGUAAUAUGUAAUUAGUAAUUGAUUACAGUUUUCUCUGUAGCUUGCCCAACACUGCUCUUCAGGAGGAGUACUAAACAGCCUGUGUAAAUAAGUGUACACUGUCAUCUGUAGCUAUGUAGGCAGCUUUCCAAAGAAAAGAUAACCCUGAUAAAGUCUGAUGAAAUGCUUUUGAGCUGCAUUGUGAGAAAUGAAGGAAUACUUUUUGAGUUACUGGAGACUAAAAGUCAGGAUGUCUGGGCUUCUGCUGCUUCAUUCUUGACCGUUGUUUUUUAAAUCUGUCUCUUGUGAGCCCCCCAAAUGUAUGGAAGUGCAACACUUAACCAUUGAAGUGCCCCUUUAAUGAGAGUAAAUGCGACAUAAUGUGACUGAGAUGUGGAUUAGAAUCAUUACACUAACCUCAACCCUUCACAAAAUCAGCAGAGUGUUCAAGUAAAAAUCCUUGCGAAAUGUAAAUCUAAACAAAAUAUAGAUGAAGAGAAACAGGAAAACCAGCUCAUCCCUAUUUCCUGUCUAAGCGUGAAGCUGCACAAACCACAAUCAUAAAGCUAUAGCUGGCAGACACUUAAUAAUGUCGAUUUGCAUUACAGUCACACUAACACCUCUAAAUGAUCUGUGCAUAGACUGCAGACUGUCUUUAACAUGUACUUCCUGAGCAAAUGAUCUCUGUUCCUACUAAAAUGUCACUCAUAAGGGACCUAUUUUACCUUUGGUAGUUUUUAUACCGUUAAACAUCCAACAUUAGUGCAGAAAAUCCUUACUUCCCUAAAUAUUUUCUUCUUUGCCCUUCGUGAUAGAAACACAGAGUGUGUGGGCUGAAAUACAAACACAGUGAGCGAGUGAGCGAAUGUUUAAAAGGACAAUGCAAGAGCUCACUACCCAGAGUUAGAAAACCACUCAUCUAAAUCAGGGAAAUUAUGAUAAUGGGGCAUCUCAUUAUUCUCCAGCUCACUCCGAAUCAGUCACUGACAUCACAUCAUUAUAGACGUAUUCAUAUAAACAGAUUGGAUGGCAUAAAAAGAAGGCUGACACCCUCAAAACUUUCUCAUCUGCUUUGUCUAAUGUCUCCUCCGCGUGUUUGUGUGUGAGGCAGGAAGCGCAGGUCUCAGGAAGGGGUUGCAGGGUGUUAUGGUGGUCACCGUUCGGGACAGGGGGGCUGCAUGGCCAAAAGUAGGUCCCCCGGAUUGUUUGAUUGUCCUGUGAAAAUAUCAGGAUUUAAAGUCGGUAAAUUAUCAGUCAUUUUGGAUCAAGUAAAAAUCUAAGAACCCAACAGUAAUCAUAGUGAAAUAAAUAAGACUGCUGCUUAAAAGAUACCCACAGGCACUUGUGUAACGAGUGAGCUUUGGCAAGAAAAAAUCCCGAGGAUGUCUGACCGUUGCAGCAGACAGUUAAUCAAUCCAAGUGCUUCGUCUUUUUUCUGUUUUGGGGAAAAAAUAUGGGAGGCCAGCCUAAUCAGCAGAGGAAACAGAUCUCAUGGGGGGUGUCAGGCACCAGGAAAAUGGAUCUAGGUUGUGAAAAACCACGAUUACCACGAGCUGCUCUGGAUUCAGCCAUCUGGAGAUGCCUGCUCCAAAAGCCGGUAAAGUUCGCUCAACUGGGGCCCAACUAGGAAACAGGUUUGCACCUCCUUAACAGACAGCCAACACUCCCAGAGAGGAGGGAUGUUUGCACUCGCUCUACUCAUUCGUGUAAACUGACAUUGUUCACAUGGUAAAUUCUUUUUUUUAAAAGACAUUUACUGAAAUAUUUACUUAAUGCGCACCGUAAGAAAAACCUGAAAUCUGCUGUGAAAUUUCCUCUAUGUAAGAAUGUUCUUUUGCCCUCAAAUUAACCUUCUUGUCAUUUUCUCCCCAGUUUUCCAAGACUUCCAAUUUCCUUCCUGUCUGUCUUCGGGAAUGACAUCCACUGUUUUUUUUUAAUCUCUCUCUUAACAUUUCCAAUUACUGUAGUCUUUACCAGCUGACCAUUAACUUGUAUGUCACCCGCCCACUCAUCCAAAAAAAAUAAGAUGCACAUUUAGCUGAUGCUUAAAGAGAUGCCACUCAAACACAUACAAGCACCGCAAAGAACGGAAAGAUAAAAAUUCCAAGUAAAAUGCAAAGGAAAGAACAUCAUAAUAUAUUAUUUUAUAUAAAUUAUCCUUGUUCUUUUGACACUGUAUUCAUUGUAUGUAUUACUAAACUUUCUCAUAUUAUGCUCUUUUAUUUAUCUUUAAAGAAACAAAUAUAAAAAAGAUUCCAUGUAUUUUUUCUCUAUAUGAUGGAAUUGGUUUUGUUAUUUGUGCCUUUGGUAAGAGCUGAAUAAAGCCACUGUGCACCCUCA